AUACGGAGGAUGCAAGCGUUAUCCGGAUUUAUUGGGUUUAAAGGGUGCGUAGGCGGAUGAUUAAGCGUGAGGUGAAAUGCCACUGCUCAACAGUGGAACUGCCUCGCGAACUGGUUGUCUUGAAUGCUCCUGCCGUGGGAGGAAUGUGUGGUGUAGCGGUGAAAUGCAUAGAGAUCACACAGAACACCGAUUGCGAAGGCAUCUCACGAAGGGGUGAUUGACGCUGAGGCACGAAAGCGUGGGGAUCGAACAGGAUUAGAUACCCUGGUAGUCCACGCAGUAAACGAUGAUAACUAACCGCUGGGUCGUAGUGAUUCAGUGGCCAAGCGAAAGCGAUAAGUUAUCCACCUGGGGAGUACGACCGCAAGGUUGAAACUCAAAUGAAUUGGCGGGG
rnacentral:rRNA from 1 species